rnacentral:sRNA from 1 species
AAAUCAGUUAAGAGCACUGCGUAAACAAUGGAUUUAGUUUUAACGACGUUUGCUUACUUCCC